AUACGGAGGGUGCAAGCGUUAAUCGGAAUUACUGGGCGUAAAGCGUGCGUAGGUGGUUUGUUAAGUCAGAUGUGAAAGCCCCGGGCUCAACCUGGGAACUGCAUUUGAAACUGGCAUACUAGAGUAUAGGAGAGGAAAGUGGAAUUUCAGGUGUAGCGGUGAAAUGCGUAGAUAUCUGAAGGAACAUCAAUGGCAAAGGCAGCUUUCUGGACUAAUACUGACACUGAGGUACGAAAGCGUGGGUAGCAAACAGGAUUAGAAACCCCAGUAGUCC
rnacentral:rRNA from 1 species